UGCUAGACAAAUGUAAAGUAUUUUUGUAAUAUGCCCAUGAACUAUAUGCAAGUUCUAAGAGGCAUUAACCCUGGGAAGAAGCAAAAGUCGAAGCAGGAAGUUCAGUCAUCCAGCUACCAAUAUAAUAUACACAAGAAAUAGUAGUGACUUGGAUCAAAUGACUCUUGAUGGAGCAGGAAUAAACAUGAGCCCAGUGCAUUAAAUCUUGCAAAAGACCUGUGACCUGAUGUCUGCUAACUUACUAUUGUGAUACGGUCUUCUCUUUGACUACACAUAAUUCCAGGUACAUUGUAAGUCCCCCUGAAGACAGGGAGUGGUGCUUUUCCGCUUGCUCUUGUCCAACUUUCACAUAGAUGCUGAUGAAUGGAAACCUUUGUCUUCCAUCAAUCCCACUGGCUUACUGAUCUUUCACCACUGUCCCCAAUGCUCUGCCCAGCACCUGGAACAGAGGAGGUGUCAAGAAGCAGAAAAAUUUCCCCUGAACUAUGAAUGUGGGACUUGAAAGGAAAGUCAUGUCAAAUCAACCAGGUGAGAUAAAAGUAGCAAAGGAAUGCAGUCUCCAA